rnacentral:rRNA from 1 species
CAGCCGUAAACUAUGCUCGCUAGGUGUCAGGCAUGGCGCGACCGUGUCUGGUGCCGCAGGGAAGCCGUGAAGCGAGCCACCUGGGAAGUACGGCCGCAAGGCUGAAACUUAAGGAUUGGCGGGGGAGCACAACAACGGGUGGAGCCUGCGGUUUAAUUGGACUCAACGCCGGACAACUCACCGGGGACGACAGCAAUAUGUAGGCCAGGCUGAAGACCUUGCCUGAAUCGCUGAGAGGUGGUGCAUGGCGUAGACGUCU